rnacentral:lncRNA from 1 species
AAGAGAGAUAGUGGGAGUUUAGGGACCUUGACUAUGGUAGUCAAAGGAGAAGUCAAAUGAAGAAAACGAAAUAAACUCCAAGGGAACAAACUUUCUUUAUGAAAGGAUGGACAUUGGAAGGGGUAUUUGCAAGAAAUGUCUUGCAAGUGUCAAGAACACACCUUUCGAAGGUGUUGUAAAAUGUUCUUGAAUAGUUCAAAACAGUUGGUUCUUCUACUUGAAUGUUUGAUUCCGUAUUAGUAACUAUGUUUUACAA